rnacentral:rRNA from 1 species
AGCGAACGCUGGCGGCAUGCCUAACACAUGCAAGUCGAACGAGAUCUUCGGGUCUAGUGGCGCACGGGUGCGUAACGCGUGGGAAUCUGCCCUUUGGUUCGGAAUAACAGUUGGAAACGACUGCUAAUACCGGAUGAUGACGAAAGUCCAAAGAUUUAUCGCCAGAGGAUGAGCCCGCGUAGGAUUAGCUAGUUGGUGUGGUAAAGGCGCACCAAGGCGACGAUCCUUAGCUGGUCUGAGAGGAUGAUCAGCCACACUGGGACUGAGACACGGCCCAGACUCCUACGGGAGGCAGCAGUGGGGAAUAUUGGACAAUGGGCGAAAGCCUGAUCCAGCAAUGCCGCGUGAGUGACGAAGGCCUUAGGGUUGUAAAGCUCUUUUACCCGGGAUGAUAAUGACAGUACCGGGAGAAUAAGCUCCGGCUAACUCCGUGCCAGCCGCCGCGGUAA